UACAGAGGGUGCGAGCGUUGUCCGGAUUUAUUGGGCGUAAAGAGCGUGUCAGGCGGCCAGACAGGUCCGUUGUGAAAACUCGAGGCUCAACCUCGAGACGUCGACGGAAACCGUCUGGCUAGAGUCCGGAAGAGGAGUGUGGGAAUUCCUGGUGUAGCGGUGAAAUGCGCAGAUAUCAGGAAGAACACCUAUGGCGAAGGCAGCACUCUGGGACGGUACUGACGCUGAGACGCGAAAGCGUGGGGAGCGAACAGG
rnacentral:rRNA from 1 species